rnacentral:rRNA from 1 species
GGAGGAAAAGAAACCAACAGGGAUUGCCUCAGUAACGGCGAGUGAAGCGGCAAAAGCUCAAAUUUGAAACCCUCGGGAUUGUAAUUUGAAGAUUUGGCAUUGGAGAAAGCUAACCCAAGUUGCUUGGAAUAGUACGUCAUAGAGGGUGACAACCCCGUCUGGCUAACCGUUCUCCAUGUAUUGCCUUAUCAAAGAGUCGAGUUGUUUGGGAAUGCAGCUCAAAGUGGGUGGUAAACUCCAUCUAAAGCUAAAUACUGGUGAGAGACCGAUAGCGAACAAGUACUGUGAAGGAAAGGUGAAAAGAACUUUGAAAAGAGAGUGAAAUAGUAUGUGAAAUUGUUGAUAGGGAAGGAAAUGAGUGGAGAGUGGCCGAGGUUUCAGCCGCCCCUCGUGGGCGGUGUACUGCCGACGCCGAGUCAUCGAUAGCGAGACGAGGGUUACAAAUGGGAGCGCCUUCGGGCGUUCUCCCCUAACCCUCCACACUGCCACCGACGACAUAAUCCACCCAUUUCACCCGUCUU